GUGGGGAAUCUUGCGCAAUGGGCGAAAGCCUGACGCAGCCAUGCCGCGUGAAUGAUGAAGGUCUUAGGAUUGUAAAAUUCUUUCACCGGGGACGAUAAUGACGGUACCCGGAGAAGAAGCCCCGGCUAACUUCGUGCCAGCAGCCGCGGUAAUACGAAGGGGGCUAGCGUUGCUCGGAAUUACUGGGCGUAAAGGGAGCGUAGGCGGACUGUUUAGUCAGAGGUGAAAGCCCAGGGCUCAACCUUGGAAUUGCCUUUGAUACUGGCUGUCUUGAGUUUGGGAGAGGUGAGUGGAACUCCGAGUGUAGAGGUGAAAUUCGUAGAUAUUCGGAAGAACACCAGUGGCGAAGGCGACUCACUGGCCCAAUACUGACGCUGAGGCGCGAAAGCGUGGGGAGCAAACAGGAUUAGAAACCCUGGUAGUCC
rnacentral:rRNA from 1 species